GAUGAACGCUAGCGGCAGGCUUAAUACAUGCAAGUUGAGGGGCAGCAUGAUAUACGCGAGUAUAUUGAUGGCGACCGGCGGACGGGUGAGUAAUAGGUAGGAGACCUACCUCAUACAGGGGGAUAGCAUAGAGAAAUCUGUGGUAAUACCCCAUGAGGUUAUAUGAAUAGAGGCAUAUAAUCAAAGCAUAAGCGAUUAUGCGGUAUGAGAGGGGCCUACUGACCAUUAGCUAGUUGGUGAGGUAAGGGCUCACCAAGGCGAAGAUGGUUAGGGGUUUUGAGAGAGAGACCCCCCACAUUGGAACUGAGAGACGGUCCAGACUCCUACGGGAGGCAGCAGUAGGGAAUAUUGGGCAAUGGGCGAAAGCCUGACCCAGCCAUGCCGCGUGAAGGAAGACGGCCUUAUGGGUUGUAAACUUCUUUACUACGCGAAUAGAGGUUAGUACGAGAUACUAAUAGGAAGGUAGUGUAGUAAAAAAGCAACCGGCUAACUCCGUGA
rnacentral:rRNA from 1 species